rnacentral:tRNA from 1 species
GGAGGGGUGUCCGAGCGGUUUAUGGAGACGGUCUUGAAAACCGUUGGGGGCCGAAAGCCCCUCGUGGGUUCGAAUCCCACCCCCUCCG